rnacentral:rRNA from 1 species
GAUGAACGCUGGCGGCGUGCCUAAUACAUGCAAGUCGAGCGAACUGAUUAGAAGCUUGCUUCUAUAACGUUAGCGGCGGACGGGUGAGUAACACGUGGGCAACCUGCCUGUAAGACUGGGAUAACUUCGGGAAACCGAAGCUAAUACCGGAUAGGAUCUUCUCCUUCAUGGGAGAUGAUUGAAAGAUGGUUUCGGCUAUCACUUACAGAUGGGCCCGCGGUGCAUUAGCUAGUUGGUGAGGUAACGGCUCACCAAGGCAACGAUGCAUAGCCGACCUGAGAGGGUGAGCGGCCACACUGGGACUGAGACACGGCCCAGACUCCUACGGGAGGCAGCAGUAGGGAAUCUUCCGCAAUGGACGAAAGUCUGACGGAGCAACGCCGCGUGAGUGAUGAAGGCUUUCGGGUCGUAAAACACUGUUGUUAGGGAAGAAUAAGUACAAGAGUAACUGCUUGUACCUUGACGGUACCUAACCAGAAAGCCACGGCUAACUACGUGCCAGCCGCCGCGGUAACAC